CGGCCGCCCCACGCCGCCGCCAGGUGGUGCCGUCGCUCCGCGCCGCGGGCAGAUCAGAGGGGGAGGGCAGCUGGGUGGGACUUCCCCGACGGGGCGGACGGAUGGACCGCGAGCGGCCGCGCUGCCCUCUUGCUGUGGGUUUGGCUGUGCCCAUCCCGCCGUGGGGAGCAGGGAAUGCUCGCUCCGAGGCAGUUAAGCGCGAGUGAGCAGCCAGAGGUGGGGCUGCUCUGCCUUCUGCACGCUGGGUUUUAUACCGCCUGGAGUAUUAAGGGAUGAAGUCAUGCAGAAGGGCUGUUUUUAUUCCCCAUCGAAUCGGCUUCGCUGUGAGCGGUGACAUAAGCACAGCCCCUGCCUAUCAGUACAAUCGAGGCAGAACCUGGGAACCUGACAGAGAGCUGAACCCGGCUGCUGCCCCCUGGGCUGGCAAUGAAUGAAUGACUGAAGCAAUGAAUGAAUGAAGCCCCCUCCCAGCCUGGCUGCUCACUGAGAUCAACUCUUGUGGGUGUAUACUUUAAAUCCACUUGUCUGCUCGUUUUAUCCCCUUUGAAUGGGGGAAAUUAAUCUGGGUGCUGCAGCAGGAUGGAGCCAGCAGAGGGAAUGCGAGAGCACUGAUGCAACUCCAUUGUGAGCCUCAGGAAUGGCCACUGGGUGACUCCUAUUAUUAUGAUUAUUCCUAAGUGUUGGUGAUCCAGGCACAUCAAUGAGAGCAAGGAACAGCCAUCAGUCUGGUAAAUGUUGGGGAUGCUGUUAUUGGAGAGGUGUCCCCAUUUGGGAGCCCAUCCCUGAGCACAUCUGUCCCAUGCUUGGUGCCAUCGUGGCCCCCCCAGCCGCAGUGCCACUACACUGCACCUUGUGCAGAGCAUCCCUGCCCUCCCUGUGCCACAGGGCACAGCGUCUCUUUGGGGCUGAGAGCCCCCAGUACAGCUCAGUGACCACCAGUAUCACCAAUUUGGGACCCAGUGGGACCCAUCACCAGGGGGACGGUGGUGGCAGUGCUCCUUUCCUGGCCCAGUUCCUGAUAUCCCAUCUCUGUGGAUGUUUGGGACUAUUUGCCCUGGCAGAUGGUAUCUCAGUGCUGUCCUUUUGGGUGACAAACAGGGCUGGUUAAACACGGUCAUCCCUCAAACAGGUUUAAGUGGGUUUUGCUGUAAAAUAAAUUUAUUUCAACAAAACCUUUUUUGAUAAAUUAAACCAGCACCGCUCUGUGUAUAAUUUCUAUAAACAAUCUUCCCCAGUGUUUACCUAACCUGGGCACACAGAAACUCUCGCACAUUAAAUAUGAGAUGGAAAAGGGCUAUGAAAGUUUUACAUGCAUCUUUUCACAUCAGCGUGCCAUGAGGAAAUGCUUGGCUGGUUUGGGGCUGCUGUUGGAGGAGCAG